rnacentral:rRNA from 1 species
AUACGUAGGUGACAAGCGUUAUCCGGAUUUACUGGGCGUAAAGGGCGUGUAGGCGGUCUUGCAAGUCAGAAGUGAAAUUCCUGAGCUCAACUCGGGCGCUGCUUCUGAAACUGCAGGACUUGAGUGCUGGAGGGGAUAGCGGAAUUCCUAGUGGAGCGGUAAAAUGCGCAGAUAUUAGGAAGAACACCGGUGGCGAAGGCGGCUAUCUGGACAGUAACGGACGAUGAGGCGCGAAAGCGUGGGGAGCAAACAGGAUUAGAUCCCCUGGUAGUCCACGCCGUAAACGAUGAAUACUAGGUGUAGGGGGUAUCGACUCCCUCUGUGCCGCAGUUAACACAAUAAGUAUUCCGCCUGGGGAGUACGGCCGCAAGGUUGAAACUCAAAUGAAUUGACGGGG